rnacentral:rRNA from 1 species
GACGAACGCUGGCGGCGUGCUUAACACAUGCAAGUCGAGCGGUAAGGCUCCAGCUUGCUGGGGUACACGAGUGGCGAACGGGUGAGUAACACGUGGGUGACCUGCCCUGCACUUCGGGAUAAGCCUGGGAAACUGGGUCUAAUACCGGAUAGGACCAUGGUGUGGAUACUGUGGUGGAAAGUUUUUUCGGUGUGGGAUGGGCCCGCGGCCUAUCAGCUUGUUGGUGGGGUAAUGGCCUACCAAGGCGGCGACGGGUAGCCGGCCUGAGAGGGUGGACGGCCACAUUGGGACUGAGACACGGCCCAGACUCCUACGGGAGGCAGCAGUGGGGAAUAUUGCACAAUGGGCGGAAGCCUGAUGCAGCGACGCCGCGUGGGGGAUGACGGCCUUCGGGUUGUAAACUCCUUUCACCAUCGACGAAGGGUUUCUGACGGUAGAUGGAGAAGAAGCACCGGCUAACUACGUG